ACCAGGCUGUAGAUAACGCGGUGGCAAAAGAUGGAGGCCCAGUAAAGAUUGUGACAAAACUAUUAGGACAAAAUAAUGCCAAAAAAAGGGUAAAUAAUCAAAACUUACUUUAAAUUAUUUAUAAGUGGGAAUCAAGGACCUUACAAUCAAACUUAAGUCAUCUAGAGUCUAGGAGGCUUAUUCUAGUUGUAAUAACAGGUUAUGAAUUUGUUCUGUAUUUGUUAUGGAUACGAGUAUAAUCUGUCAUUGUCAAAAGUGACAGUUUGAAAGUAGUUUUUAUAGAAUUGUGCAUAAAAAGGUCUGUUUUGUCAAGGGAUGUGACGCGUAUUAAUUACCUGC